ACAGCCUAAAAGGAUUUGAAGCCCUCAGUCCAACACCCAACAAGGAAUGGAAUGCUGCCAUCAACCACAUAAGCUUAGACACCGAUCCUUCCCCAGUUGAAUGUUUGAAUGAGGAUCCAUCCCUGGCCAAUAUCUUGAUUGAAGCCUUAGAGAGGACCCAAUUAAGCCAUGUCCUGACUCCUGACCUACAGAACCUCUGAGGGUCACCCAGGUCACAGGCAGGAGAAGGGACAUAUGGCACAACUUGAGGAAACACCGCUGCCCAGUGGGGACCAACCACAUAAUUUUCUGGAUAAGCCUGAUGCCUAGGAGGACUAUGGUUUUUGGAAAAGCACAUUUCUUACGUUGAACUGAAUUUUGCCUUGGGCUUGUCCUGUUGCUCAGAAAUAAGACACUCUCUGCAACAAGCGCUGGAGAGGUCUCUGCUGUACAUUUGCUUCAGGGUUUUUCCUCAACUAUCUGUGCCUGAACAAACACAAAAACUGCAGUUCUUGGCUUCCUGCCCAUCUGGAGCGGGGAAGCAUCCUGCUACAUCGGCAAGAUAUCAACCGGAGUUUACAGGAAAGUGAACAAGAAUGGCCUCUUAUCCACGUCUGGAGAAAAAUCCCUCCCAGGAUUUGAGGUCUGCUGUGAACCACAGAGAAAACACCUUAUCGGUUUUGGGGAGAGACCCAGAAGAACUGGGAGCCAUAGGCCACGCUGUGAACAUUUCACCAUUCCCAGAGAGCCCAAGAUCUGAGUCUGCUCCUUGGGGUGGAGGUCUUGGUCUACAGUCAGCCCUACUCUUGGAGGAAGAUGAUUCUGUCCCAUGCAGACCAUGGAGGAGGCAGGAGUGGGAGGUUAUGAAGUGCCCGGCGUGAGCCAUUUGAAGACACUCAUCCUACUGAAGAUAAAUCUCAUUUCUAAUCCGGAUGCAGAGCAAUGUUUUGUGCAAAGGAAAGGAAGCCCUUACACCACCCUGAUGACAGCCAUAUAAAUCACAGGCUUUAUUCCUCUGCUGUAAGGGGCAUUACAGAUAGGAGCAACAUUGCAGACUCUCUUUGGGUGAUGCUUCAUUACUUGGCGGAAAAUCCCCAGAGCCGAAACAUUAUUUAAAUGUGCUAUGAAA